rnacentral:rRNA from 1 species
GGCAGGGAUCAAACCCUGUCAUCCCGCAAGGGAAGGGAACCGAGUGAACUGAAACAUCUAAGUAGCUCGAGGAAAAGAAAGUAUUCCGUUAGUAGUGGCGAGCGAACGCGGAAAAGCCUAAACCAGCCGCGAGGUUGGGGUUGUAGGGUCUCCGUUUAGGCAACAAGACUGAAGCAGAAUGGCGUGGGAAAGCCAACCAGAGAGGGUGAGAGUCCCGUACGUAAGGGUCGAGUUGUUGAGGGGAUACCUGAGUACCGCAGGACACGAGAAAUCCAGCGGGAAGCUAGGAAGACCACUUCCUAAGGCUAAAUACACCAUACGACCGAUAGUGCAAUAGUACAGUGAUGGAAAGGUGAAAAGAACCCCGGCGAGGGGAGUGAAACAGAAUCUGAAACCAUAUACUUACAACCGGUCAGAGUCCUGGAAACGGAUGAUGGCGUGCCUUUUGGAGAAUGAGCCGGCGAGUUAAUGUCUGUGGCAAGCUUAAGGGAGAUACACCCGGAGGCGAAGCGAAAGCGAGUCUGAAUAGGGCGAGAAGUCGCAGGGAUUAGACGACG